CGGCGAUGCGGGCUCGAACCCUGCGAACAGCAGAUUAAGAGUCUGGUGCUCUACCGACUGGAAGCUAACCGGCC